GUCAAACUCACAAACCUCCAUCUACAAGUAUACAUUUUCACAAAGCUCCUUCAAAGUCUCAAUAGUUCUUCUCAAGUUAUGGCAAGCUCCCUGGCCUUCAAGCUUGUUCUGGUGGUCCUCGGGUGUACGCUGGUUGGUGCACCCUUAGCCCAAGCUGUCAUACCAUGCAGCAGGGUGUCACAAUACGUGGGACCCUGCAUAAGUUACUUGAAGACGGGUGGGGCCGUGCCUGUACCAUGCUGCAAUGGGAUUAGGUCCCUGAUCGGCUUGGCUGGGACCACACCUGACCGCCAGGGCGUGUGUAGGUGCUUGGUCGCGACUGCUAAAUCAAUCACUGGGAUCAAGGGUGAACUUGUUAGCGGACUCCCCAGGGCUUGUAAUGUGAGGCUUCCUUACCCCAUUGGACCCAACGUUGACUGCAACCGGUAAAAUUCAUGUUAUAUUACCUCAAUUUUCACAUUGAAAAGAUGGAUUAAAAUAACCUUAAUUAUAUUUUAUUGUGUAAUGCAGGAUCCACUGAAGUUGAGAUGGGGAGGCAGUUUUUGGCCGCGAGAUAAAAUCUAGUAGGUGCUAAAAUAAAGUGGGUGAUGAAGAACUCUCUAUCAUCAGCUCCUUAAAAGUACAUGAUCCUUGUUUGUAAAAUUCUCUCUACAAGAUCUGUACUACCUUCUCUUUUAUGAAUAAAAAGAGUGAUCACUUAUCCAUGUUUUUUUUUAAAAUCUCCUUAAAUUUUAAUUUUUGGAAAAAUUAAUAUAAAAACAUUAUUAUAUAUGAUUAUGAUUAAUUAGAAAAAUUAACUAAAUUAAUAAAUUAAAAAGUGGCAUUAGUUGUACCGACCAUUUCUUUCAAAGUCCUAAAUAUAAUUACGUAUGUGAGAUUCACAAUUAUGGAUGGGUGCGUGACACCGACCAUUAAUUUCAUUCUGGACGAAAUUCAUUUAAGUUUCUUUUGUCUUGACCAGAAGGAAAAACUUAUGGCAAAACAUUAUGACAAAAAUUAGGUACGUGUUAAGCGUUUUCUAGAAAAUCUCUUCUGAUGAAAAUAUAUUCCAAUCUAAGUUCUAGAUCUAUCAAAUAUUAGUUAGAUUUUCAAUAUUAUGGUAGGGCUUUUUCGGAGUGAUUUUGGAUGGGGGCCAAUUGAGGGGGCUAAAAUCAAUUCUAUGGAGAAUUUAAUCACUUUUUAUGGUUUUAAGUGAUUUUAGGGACAAGCAUAUGAAAUGUGUUUUUCUUAGAAUCACUUAAAAUCACUUAAAAUGAUUAUAUAGACAAGUACAUGAGAAAUACUUAUUCCUGUAAGUGAUUCUGGCAUUCUUAAAAUCACUCCCAAACAAGUCAUCAAUGUCUUGUGUGCUGCAGCCUUUUAGCUUUUUAUUUAUUUUGGGCUUCGGAGUCUGUUAUAUCGGGCCUUUGUAUGUCUUGGGUCUUGCUGCCGCUCUGAGUUAUCUAUGAAUAUUUUCAUACCCAAAAAAGAAACUUGUUUCUCCAUGAAAGUUUUUGGUUGAAACAAACAAAGUCUAACCAAAUAUAGAGAGAGAGAGAGAGAGAGAGAGAGAGAUAGAGCUUUUCUGAAAAUAUCGAAUUGUACAAUACAAUUUGGUCCUUAUUAGUUUGUUAAUUUUGUGUUUCUCCUUGUAACCGAGAAAUUUAUACAAUAAUAUUAAUAUAUAACAAUAGUUUUGAUCUCUUGGACUACAGGGGUUCAAGAGAUUUUUGGUUACUAUGAUGAACAUUGGAUGUAAAUUCAACAAUUCACUCACUCUUGCACUCUUUUUAAGAACUAUAUGAUGUAAAUUCAAAGAUUUGUUAUAGCAUGCACCACCAAACAACUAUAUGAUGAACUUAAUAUAUGGUGAGGGCCUACUAUGACCAUGACUUCAUGAGCCUUGAUUAUUUAGUUUGUGAUUCAGCUACCUCGUACAAAAGAACAAAACAAAAACCCAAGAUUGAAACAAGUAUAUGGAUUUACAAAGACAGACACCCCUCAACGCCUCCUCAUACAAGAAUACUAAACUUUCCUUUGGGAUAGAAUUUGUGACAUGUCACAUUAUCUACAAUUUGCAUCAGUUGUCAUGUCUAACCCAAAUGACCUUAAUUUGUAAAUUAGUGGUCUCAGAUUCGAAACAUCGGACAAUAGAAACUCAGGUAAUGACCUAAUAGUAAUAGAUAAUACUCUGAAUUACUCUUAUGAUAAAUAUAAAAAAAUUAGGGAAAAAAAUUAUUUAUUAAAAAAAGAAAAAAGAAAAAAAAAAGGACCCCAGUAUAGCCGCCCGGCUAUACUUUGAAAAAAAUUAUAUAAAUCUAAGGCGUAUAGCCGCGCGGCUAUACUAUGUAAAUCUAAUGAUAUAUUUAAAACAGUAUAGCCGCGCGGCUAUACUAUUUAAAUAUAAUAAUAUAUUUAAAAAGUAUAGCCAUUCGACUAUAUUUAAAACAGUAAGUCCCCUUCUAUUGAGGGAUCCCUCAAAUAAUUAUUUAAGGGACGUCCUUUAGCGUACCAUACCAUUUUUUUCCCAAUGAUCCAAACCAUCUAUUUUUUAGGUCUUCAUUCAUAGAUCAUCCUUACAAAAAACUAGACAAAUCGGAAACCGUUUCGACAUCCAAUUGUGUCUUACAAAAUCAAUGAACACGGUGCUUUAAGAAAAUACUAAAAUUUCAAUAACUCAAUUGAGUGGUCAAAUGAUAUCUGAUUCAAGUGAUUUUUUGUAGAGAUGAUCUUUGAAUGAGUAUCUACAAAAUAGAUGGUUUGGAUUAGUGAAAUACAAUCCGGUUUGGAUUAGUGACAGUUGGAGCUUGAAGCUUCUCUUUUCCCUACAAUCAUUUUGAAAGCAAGAUGUUUUCAUGGAUAUUUUCUAUCAAAUUAUGGAGUUUGUUGGUGUUAGUACUCCUUUCUGCUGUACUGUUUACAAGUCAUGUAGAGUAAGUCAUUCUUCAGUCCUUGUAGUUGUGGACAAUACUGCUGAGACCAUUUAAGCUUGUCACUGUUUCUUCAAGAGGCGAGCCAUGCUAUUGCUUGUAAACUUACAAGUGGUCAUGCAAGAAGCUCUGUUCUUUCAUAUUUUCAUAUAAACUUUUCACAAUGCCCAUGUUGAUAAAUUGUAACAGAAUGCCUGCGUCGCCUUGCUCUUGGGUUGUUGAAUUAAUGAAUUUUAUUUAGUAUAAUUUUUGUGACUGAUAACUCAAGUGAGGAAAAAAGCAAAUUUCUUCCGGCACUAAUUAAUGCCCUUUCAUAUGCGUUCUUCAAUAGUUAUAAUCUGUACAUGGCAAUGGUUCUUUUUCGCUACUUCUGUAUGCACUUUAUUGUAUUCUGUUAACAAAUGGAAGGACAUUGUUAAGUUUGCAUUGCUCAAAUUGAUACAUUGCAGCAGAAUGCCUUGCUACGAUAUAUCCUAAUGAAAACUCAUAAUUUCAUGAGUAUCUACUUUCUCUCUCUCUGACUCAUCAUCUUGGUGAGGUCAAAUUCUGACCUAGGUAGCUUCGUAAUUGGCUAAGUUUAGAAAGUCUUUCAUUUAUUUGCGGCCGCUAAUGAUACAGAUUAGUUUGCAGGUAGAAGGGAUUCAAGUUCAUGCAGAUGAGGGUGGAACCACACAAACCCGUGGUGGUGUAUUAUACUGUAUCUUUGACCUAUUUUAUUUUUCAGUUAGUUGAAUCUUUAGCUCUUCUCCAUUGAGAGCUGUGUCCAAAUAUGUUCUAUGUAAUUGUUUCCAUUUACGUUUCACUCCAAAUCUUGGUUCAUCCUUUUUGGGGGAUGCUAUGGAUUAUUGCAUCUACAAAUCUUCUUACUGCACGAAUAGCUGCUGGGUGUUUUGUUGCUGCUUUACUGGUUGUACUGUUUAUAGCUAAAAAUGUAAGUACUAAUUCACAUAUCAUUUACUUGAUUUUGCCUGUUACCUUGCUUCCUAUGCUAAAAUGCACCUAUAAGCAUUCGAGUGGGUACAUGCAACAGUUUAACAUGAGAAAUUUGCAGAAGAGUGUCCUUGCUGUACUGGUUGUGGAUGGGGUCAUUGGGGUGUCAUUUGGUGAGCUUCUUAUAUUGUUAAUAAGAUUUUUGCCUGAGAGCUUUCCUUCUGAUAUUUUUUAUGCAUUUCCAUUUCUUUUGCUGGACAAAGUACAAGGGAUGCUCUUAUGCCGUACUUGUGUGGUUCUUUCUGACUCUGAAGAGCUUUACUUGUGGGGGUUUAUAUCUUUCUUGUUUCUCUGCGGAGCCAUGUACCUUGGUCUUGUGAUUUUGUCUUGAGGUAUAUGCUUUGCUUCCACUAAAGCUGAAAUGAAUUACUUGUGUAGUUACUAAAAUGGUUAUAUUUCUGUCAUUCUCAUCGCCUAUUAGCUCAAUCACUUUCCCUCCAUCAUGCUAUAACUUCUGUAGAUUCAUUCUUUCCAACGCGGUGGAUCUCAGAUAUCUUAAUUGUGCCAAUGAAUUUUGUUUAUGGGGAUUGUAUAAGUUUUCUCAUAGAGUUCUUUGGAAGUGUUUUUCAGCAUGCAUCCACAAAACAUGUUGGUACACGAAUAGCUGCUGGCUGUUUCAUCGUUGCCCUAUUUGUUGUACUCUUUUGAGCUAAAAAUGUAAGUAUCAGUGAACCUAUCUUCUACUUGGUUUUGAAUGCUAGAAUGCACCUAUGAUAUGAAGCAUUUGGGACAGGCAGCAACACUUUGACAUUAGAUAUCAUGGAAACUAAUUGGAAAGUAAUUGAUGAAGAUCUAGAAACCCUCAGAUUCCUGAAAAGCCUAAAAAGCUCAAAAUAUGUACUGAUAUCCGGCAUGAAGAGCUAUUUCCCAGGGUACACAAUUGGUUUGUAAACUCAAUUUUUUUUUCUUUUAUAUAUGCCUAUAAAGGAAUGCAAAACUUGCUAACUAAAUCCUUACCCUGUUGUAUUUGUACUGCUUGAUAAUGUACAGUGGACAUUUGGAGGACUUUGUAUAGGUAUUUCGUAAUCCAAUCAAACAUCUUCCUAUUACAACUAGCAAUGUGAUAAUCGGAUGUUUUAUGUUUUGUUGGAGCAUGAAAUUUCGAGUUCUCCAACAAAUAAUCUUGUAUUCCAUGUUGAGAAGUCGGACACCAUCUUCGAUUGCCACCAAUGAGAGGGGAGUACCUGCAAGAAAACACUCCGACACUCAGGAAUAUUGUGUAGUCAUAAUAAUCUCAUACCUCUCUCCCCUUAUGCUGGGAAAUUAAUUGGCCUUUUAUAGGCACUGAAUCCUUAGACUCCAAGUCUCAUAUCCCAUAUUUAUCUCCACAUUCUAUGGUAGUGGAUAUCAUGUUAUUUGAUUCCCUCCACUUUCUCAGUUUUAGGGUUCAUGAGAAGUGGCUUGUUACUUGGGCCUUAAUUUUUGCUCCCACAGAUGCCCUGUUUUCUCUCUCUCUAGACAUGUGUCUAGGGUGUAGAGGGAGAAAAUAUUCUUUGUGGGAAGAACACUUCGAUCAUGAGCAUGUGAAAUUUCAUGGAUAUGGUGGCCUUUGGCAAUGAGUAUGGUCUUCAACCUUAAGCUUGAUCAUCUUUGGAUUUGGCCUUUGGCCAAGAGUUUGGUCUUCGACCAUGAUUUUAAGUCUGGCCUUCGACCACAAAUAUGGUCUUCUACCAUGAUUUUGAAUUUUGCCUUCGGCUACAAGUUUUGCCUUCGAUAUGGAUUUGGCCUUCGGCCUUAAGUAUGGUCUUCCACCAAGUUUUGUCUUCGACAUGAAUUUGGCCUUCAGUCACAAACAUGGUCUCGACCACAUGAAUUUGAAUUUCAUUCACAAUCAUGGUCUUCAACCACUUGAAUUUGACUUUCAGUAGCAAGCAUGAGUUGAGUAUUGGCAUGCCCCCCAUUGGUUUAGAGUGCAUGCGUUUACUAACUACACAUUGUGGCUCUCGUUCAGCCUCUGUUUUUGUUGAUUUUGUCGUUAGUUGGGCUUCAUAAAUUGCCACCAUAUAGAAAUAGGCUUAUGGCUUAUCUUGAGUGGUGCAGUAGCUGCCCCCCACCACGCAAAGGUAGUCAAGAGGUUAACAGGCUGCCAAAUCUAACCACACGAUAAUUUCAUCAACAAAAAUCAGUUUCAAUGUACAGUAAAAUUUCACCAUGUACGAAUCAAUACGUAGGCUUAGUAGUAUCUAGAUAUUGAGCAGCAUAUGACUAGAUUCAAAUUCAGGCAUUUUAUAGAGCCAUACAUGCAAUUGUUCGCAUCUCCCAAACCCAAAUGCAAGAGGAAUAAGUAAAAUACCUUGGCAUGUGUCAAAUGUAUAUAUAAUCAAUUUAAAAGCUUCUAAUCAUACAUCUUUGAGGCAAUGGCUUCACUAACAAUUAAAAAAGUAGCUAUCUUGGCUCUCCAUUUAUUGUACGUAAUUUGUAACAAUUAGAAGCCAUUUUAAUUAGCCACAACCACCGGGAAGAAGAUGCCCCCAGCACAAGUUCAUUGUGUACAGCUGCCAUAAAUGAUCAGAUGAGGUGCUGGUAUAUAUUGAACAGCAAGUAACAUCAUGAUUAAUACUUUCCCUAGAUUCCAAAUAAACAUAAUAUAUCCUCUUUUCUUUCUUUGCCAAAAAACGGAUUGCAUUUUUAAAAAAAACUACGUAAGAGGAAUGAGAAAGAUCUUACCUGUAUCUUCAUUCCGAAAUGAAAUUUUGAAUAUCUUCAUUGGCUUAGAAGCUUUGAACGCACACCGACAAGCAAGUGUUUCAUACGCUCCUUACUUUUGCAUUGUUUGUCUUCUAGAUAGUUCUUUGCUAGCGUGCGAUUAAAAAGUUUCUCAGUCAAUAACUUUUUUUAGCAAAACAUUAGCUUUGAAAAACUCUUCUUCUGUACGUAUACAAAAUCAUCAUAUGUGCGUGUGUGGCCUAUUAGUGUAUGGCGGCGACAUGGGCAUAUCUCCUAAUACAACUAUAUAGGACUAGCCAACACAAUGCAGUGUAGUAAAUCACAUAAAAUUGAUAUGCAUUUGUAGGAUAGAUGGGCAUCCAGAUUUCAAAGAAACAGAUUCUAUGCACCAUGUAAAUUAAUGGCUCAACGUUUUUCUCUUUUUGUCAAAGAGGAACGACCAAGUCCAUUUAAUUCUAAACUGAUCAAAAUGAACGAGAUGGUUCUUAUCUGUGUAGUCCACAUCCAAGUAUAAAUUUGGCAUUCUGGCUCCUCAUUUUCAAGAGUCUGCUGCUAUUCUCUCUUCUCCUGGCGUCUUUGUUAGUUUAGAAAUCACAACACCCCAUUGUAUUUUGUAAAAUACACAUGAAUAUGAAAAAUAUGUACAUAUUGUAUGUUUGCUUUUUAAAAAAACAUAUAUUUUAUCAAGUCUUUAAAAUAUAUAUGAAAAACAAAAAUAUUAUUAAAAAAAUAUAUAUGUAAGUAUAUAAUACAAAUAUUAAACAGAAAAAUAUUAAAUUCUUUAUACAAAUAAUAACUUUGAAAAAGUAAAAACUCAAAAGGAAUUCCAUGUAAUUUAGACAUUUAUGAUCCGGCCGACCUUUGAUGAGGGCUUGCUUGCAUUUGGGCAAGAGAAAAAUCUCACACGCAUUCCCAAACUAAAAUAUGGUGUGAAUGAACUUUUAUAUUGUAUUAUUAUAUAGCCCGUACAAAGCAGACAUAAACGAGAACAGCAAAUUUAAUUUCAAGACAUGAAUUUUGGUUUCUCGAUCCAAGUGCUAGCAUUUAAGAUCCUCAACAAAACUCCACUGAAGUUUUCAAUUCCUCCCAACUACCAAGUAGCACAAACAAAGCCCCAAGAUCACAGGCUCACAUGCUAGCUCUUCCAUUGUCUAUAUAAACAGCAUACCUUCAGCCCUCUCAUAGCCACCAUUAUCUGUCCCCAAAUACUAGAGCAAAAGUUAGUUUCAAAAGAGAUAAUAUAUCAGCUUUACUUACGACGUCGUUAUGGCUAGCUCUGGACAGCUCCUCAAGCUCGUUUGCCUUGUGGCGGUGAUGUGCUGCAUGGCGGUUGGUGGUCCCAAGGCCAUGGCAGCUGUGUCAUGCGGCCAGGUGGUGAACAAUCUGACCCCAUGCAUAAACUACGUGGCAAACGGUGGGGCUUUGAACCCUAGUUGCUGCACUGGGGUCAGGUCUCUCUACAGCUUGGCUCAGACCACAGCUGACCGCCAGAGCAUCUGCAACUGCUUGAAGCAAGCCGUCAAUGGCAUCCCUUACACCAAUGCAAAUGCUGGGCUUGCCGCUGGCCUUCCUGGCAAGUGUGGGGUCAAUAUUCCUUACAAGAUCUCUCCUUCUACUGACUGCAAAAGGUAUGAAAAAAAAUCCAGUCAUUUUUAUGAAAUUAGAUUAUAUUUUCAUUAUGAUUAGGUACAUUAUUAUGUUCUUAACCAAGUUCUGUGUGUUGCAGCAUCAAGUGAGAGGUUUCUGUGGAAGCCAGCAGCUUGAACUAGUGGCAUAAGAAUAAAUUGGUGCUUUGGUUUGGCUGGCUCGUGCACCGCUUUGGGGAGUUUGUCUGCUGUUGGUUUCAGUGGGUGUUGCUCUAGUUGUUAUGUCAUCUACUUGGUGUUUAGGUUUCUAGUUUGAUAGUGGCUGAUUUGAUUUCCCCUGUGUUUAAAUCAGCUUCUUUGUUGUGACUAUCUACUGUUUAAUUAGUAAUUAUAUAUCUUUUCUCUUAACAUCUAUGCAGCUUCAGUAUUUAACCAAAGUAAUUAGCAUUGGAUCAGUCACCAGUGUGGGGUUUGCAGUUAAUCAAACUAAAACAUGGUUUUUCCUUCUCGACGCCUAGGACAAAAGUUCAGGUUUUUUCUUUUAUUAUAUAUGUCUAGCUGUGUCUGGUCCACUGUUAUAAGAAGGAGAAAGAAUAUGGAACAAGCAAUUGAAUGCUGCUAAUUAUGGCACCUUAAAGUAAAAAGCAGUAGAUGAACUUAUCAGAUUGAGACAUUUCCC
rnacentral:lncRNA from 1 species